AGUCGAGCGGUAGAGAGAAGCUUGCUUCUCUUGAGAGCGGCGGACGGGUGAGUAAUGCCUAGGAAUCUGCCUGGUAGUGGGGGAUAACGCUCGGAAACGGACGCUAAUACCGCAUACGUCCUACGGGAGAAAGCAGGGGACCUUCGGGCCUUGCGCUAUCAGAUGAGCCUAGGUCGGAUUAGCUAGUUGGUGAGGUAAUGGCUCACCAAGGCGACGAUCCGUAACUGGUCUGAGAGGAUGAUCAGUCACACUGGAACUGAGACACGGUCCAGACUCCUACGGGAGGCAGCAGUGGGGAAUAUUGGACAAUGGGCGAAAGCCUGAUCCAGCCAUGCCGCGUGUGUGAAGAAGGUCUUCGGAUUGUAAAGCACUUUAAGUUGGGAGGAAGGG
rnacentral:rRNA from 1 species